rnacentral:rRNA from 1 species
CCUACGGGAGGCAGCAGUGAGGAAUAUUGGUCAAUGGACGAAAGUCUGAACCAGCCAAGUCGCGUGCGGGAAGACGGCCCUACGGGUUGUAAACCUCUUUUGUCGGGGAGCAAAUCGCGCCACGUGUGUUUCAUUGAGAGUACCCGACGAAAAAGCAUCGGCUAACUCCGUGCCAGCAGCCGCGGUAAUACGGAGGAUUCGAGCGUUAUCCGGAUUUAUUGGGUUUAAAGGGUGCGCAGGCGGAGGUGCAAGUCAGCGGUAAAAUUGCGGGGCUCAACCCCGGACUGCCGUUGAAACUGCCGCCCUAGAGUGCGGGUGCGGUAGGCGGAAUGCGUGGUGUAGCGGUGAAAUGCAUAGAGAUCACGCAGAACUCCGAUUGCGAAGGCAGCAUACCGGAGCGCAACUGACGUUCAUGCACGAAAGCGUGGGUAUCGAACAGGAUUAGAUACCCUUGUAGUC